rnacentral:rRNA from 1 species
UACGGAAGGGGCAAGCGUUGUUCGGAAUCAUUGGGCGUAAAGGGCGUGUAGGUGGUUUUGUAUGUCUACCGUGAAAGCGUACGGCUCAACCGUAUUUAGUCGGUAGAAACUGCAGGACUUGAGGCUGGGAGGGGCUGGUGGAAUUCCCCGUGUAGCGGUGAAAUGCGUAGAGAUGGGGGAGAACACUCGUGGCGAAGGCGGCCAGCUAGACCAGUUCUGACACUGAGGCGCGAUAGCGUGGGGAGCAAACAGG